rnacentral:rRNA from 1 species
CAAUAGCGUAUAUUAAAGUUGUUGCAGUUAAAAAGCUCGUAGUUGGAUUUCGGGGUGGCCUGCCUGGUCCACCGCAAGGUGAGUACUGGUCAGCUGCCCUUCCUCUCGAAAGCCCCGACUGCUCUUCGUUGCAGUGGUCGGGUAGUUCGGGACGUUUACUUUGAAAAAAUUAGAGUGUUCAAGGCAGGCUGUCGCCUGAAUACAUUAGCAUGGAAUAAUGGAAGAGGACCUCGGUCCUAUUUUGUUGGUUUCUAGGGCCGAAGUAAUGAUUAAGAGGGACAGUUGGGGGCAUUCGUAUUUAAUUGUCAGAGGUGAAAUUCUUGGAUUUAUGAAAGACGAACUAGUGCGAAAGCAUUUGCCAAGGAUGUUUUCAUUAA